AGAGUUUGAUCAUGGCUCAGGAUGAACGCUAGCUACAGGCUUAACACAUGCAAGUCGAGGGGAAACGAUAUUGGAAGCUUGCUUCCGAUAGGCGUCGACCGGCGCACGGGUGAGUAACGCGUAUCCAACCUGCCCACCACUUGGGGAUAACCUUGCGAAAGUAAGACUAAUACCCAAUGAUAUCUCUAGAAGACAUCUGAAAGAGAUUAAAGAUUUAUCGGUGAUGGAUGGGGAUGCGUCUGAUUAGCUUGUUGGCGGGGUAACGGCCCACCAAGGCAACGAUCAGUAGGGGUUCUGAGAGGAAGGUCCCCCACAUUGGAACUGAGACACGGUCCAAACUCCUACGGGAGGCAGCAGUGAGGAAUAUUGGUCAAUGGACGAGAGUCUGAACCAGCCAAGUAGCGUGCAGGAAGACGGCCCUAUGGGUUGUAAACUGCUUUUAUAAGGGAAUAAAGUGAGAGUCGUGACUCUUUUUGCAUGUACCUUAUGAAUAAGGACCGGCUAAUUCCGCGCCAGCAGCCGCGGUAAUACGGGGGAUGCGAGCGUUAUCCGGAUUCAUUGGGUUUAAAGGGUGCGUAGGCUGUGCGUCAAGUCGGGGGUGAAAUUCCGGUGCUCAACACCGGGGCUGCCCUUGAUACUGUCGCGCUGGAGUGCGGAUGCCGCCGGAGGAAUGAGUGGUGUAGCGGUGAAAUGCUUAGAUAUCACUCAGAACACCGAUUGAGAAGGCAUCUGGCGAAUCCGUAACUGACGCUGAGGCACGAAAGCGUGGGGAUAGAACAGGAUUAGAUACCCUGGUAUUCCACGCCGUAAACGAUGAUGGCUAACCGCCGGCGACACACUGUCGGUGGCCAAGCGAAAGCGAUAAGCCAUCCACCUGGGGAGUACGUCGGCAACGAUGAAACUCAAAGGAAUUGACGGGGGCCCGCACAAGCGGAGGAACAUGUGGUUUAAUUCGAUGAUACGCGAGGAACCUUACCCGGGCUCGAACGGCACCUGGAUCGCCCAGAGAUGGGCGAGUCUUCGGACAGGUGUCGAGGUGCUGCAUGGUUGUCGUCAGCUCGUGCCGUGAGGUGUCGGCUCAAGUGCCAUAACGAGCGCAACCCCUGCCGCCAGUUGCCAUCAGGUGAUGCUGGGCACUCUGGCGGGACUGCCACCGCAAGGUGUGAGGAGGGGGGGGAUGACGUCAAUCAGCACGGCCCUUACGUCCGGGGCGACACACGUGUUACAAUGGCGGCCACAGAGGGAAGCUACCCCGCGAGGGGAUGCGGAUCUCGAAAAGCCGUCCCAGUUCGGACUGGAGUCUGCAACCCGACUCCACGAAGUUGGAUUCGCUAGUAAUCGCGCAUCAGCCAUGGCGCGGUGAAUACGUUCCCGGGCCUUGUGCACACCGCCCGUCAAGCCAUGGAAGCCGCGGGCGCCUGAAGUCCGUGACCGUAAGGAGCGGCCUAGGGCGAAAGUGGUAACUGGGGCUAAGUCGUAACAAGGUA
rnacentral:rRNA from 1 species